AGGCAGGCAGAAGGGCAGCCAGGACCAUCAGCUCGGAUGAGCGGCAUCGGAAGAAAGCUUUAGCUGCAUGUGUUUGGGUGACCACGAGAGGGCAGCACGUAAGAGACCAGUGUCGGCCCCGCUGCCUUCUUGAACACACCGGAAGCCUCCUAGGAAAACUGCAGAUUUUGUCAGACUGUGAAGUAGAAGAGUCAAAGAGCCUUCAUUGCUUCCUUUUAAAUGACCAGCCUACUAAGGAAUUUAGAAUGCCCAAGUAAGGACUGCUGGUCAGACUGGACUUCAAAAUUCCUGGAUCCUUAAGACCCAAUGCAUCAGACAAAUGUCCUGCUGGAUCCUCCCACCGUCAGCUAAGGGACAGUGCUAGCUCUCUGGUGAGGGAGAUCCGUGUGGAGGUCUCUGGCAUUCCUGGGUCAGUGGAUGGCUGGGAGAACUGCUCAGCUCCAGGUUCCAGGGCCUCUGAUCAAAGCCAACCCUGGGGGCCAGCCAGAGAUAUCGCAAACCUAAGGACUAACGUGGAAUCUACACCUGCCUUGGGAGUAAAGAACAAGCAGGGUGCUUUCCGGGAUGGCUUUGGGAUGAGAUGCCCAAGACUUAGUGCCCCUGGCAUUGCUCAGCUCUCAAGCUGACUUCCACAGCACCCCCAUGGAAGCUUCAUUGGUGCAUCUUUGGGUCUUGAAUGCAGUGCUACAAUAUUGACGAGGAAAGUCUCCUUGGAACCACAGGAAGACAAAAGUGCAGAGUGAUUUGCUGGCCUUGGCUAGGACAGGGUCCAGGGUGCAGCCAAGGGAGGGUGAUCUAAGCCAGCCAUUCUCCUAGUGUGGCUCCUGGACUAUGCGCAACAGCAUCACCUGGGAGCUUGUUAGAAACACUGGUUCUCAGUUCCCAUGCAGACGUCUUGCAUCAGAAAAUCUGGGGCUGGGGCCCAGCAAUCAGUGUCUCCAAAGGCCCUGAGAUCAUUCUAUUCAAGUUUGGGAACCAGCAACACAGCAUUUAAGUGGAAAUGUUUAUAGUUGCAAAGCCAGGUGAAGCUUGAAAUGCAUCAUAGAGGAAAUGAGGACAAGAAUGUAGAAAAAGAGUAAAAACAGAGAGGAAAAAAAUUUACAAGCCAUCAUAGAGUGAAAGAGCUUCCCCUGCUGCCUGGGGGUGUGGGAAAUGAGAGUUGCACCUGCUCACAAGUAUGACCAGCAAUUUAAUAUCUAUCUAGAGCUUUCAACCCUGCCAUGUCAAAUUUAUUUAGCUAAAAACAACUCUUGUGGUGGUGACCUUUUAUUCAGCUAAUAUUACUCCCCUCAAUGCCUCCAAAGCACACAGAGAAAUUGGAGGGCUGAUGAAAAUCUUUAAAGUCUACUAAAUACUAAAGCCUUCCCAAACACUGUGUACUUUUCAGAGAGAGUUUCUUUUUAUUGGAAUUUCAGAUUAUUGAAAGGUUAUCUGUCUCCUGUUCCUAGAGGGAUUAAAAUAAAACAAAAGCAAGAAGAAC
ensembl:lncRNA novel transcript